UUCGGGCUUCCUGAAGGUAAUACUCGGGUAUUAGGUUAUGGGGCUAGGGUAAGUUUUAAGGUUUUUGGCGUAAGGGGUUAAAAUCACUGUCCAAAACCUUUGUAGGAACUCUUUUCCAACCUUUUGGAGUUAGAUAGACCAAAAAAAAUGUAAAAUGGUAAAAAAAAUAUUUGGGGUUUUCGGGCUUCCUGAAGGUAAUACCCGGCUAUCAGGGUUAUGGGGCUAUGGUAAGGUUUAAGGUUUUUGGCAUUAGGGUUAAAAUCACUGUCCAAAACCUUUGAAGAAACUCUUUUCCAACCGUUUGGAGUUGGUUACAACAACAAAAAAUGUAAAAUGAAAAAAAAAUAUUUGGGGUGUUAGGGCUUCCUGAAGGUAAUACCCGGGUAUUAGGUUAUGGGGCUAGGGUAAGGUUUAAGGUUUUUGGCAUUAGGGUUAAAAUCACUGUCCAAAACCUUUGUAGGAACUCUUUUUCAACCUUUUGGAGUUAGUUAGACCAAAUAAAGACGAAAAAUGGAUAAAAAAAAUUUGGGGGUGGUAGGGCUUCUAUAAGGUAAUACUCGGGUAUUAGGUAACGGGGCUAGGGUAAGGUUUGAGGUUUUUAGCGUUAGGGUUUAAAUCACUGUCCAAAACCUUUUUAGGAACAUGCUUCAGACCUUUUGGAAUUAGUCAGACAAAAAAAACCCGAAAAAAAAAAUUAUAUUUGUAAUGGUAGGGCUUCCUUUAGGUAAUACCCGGGUAUUAGGUUACAGGGCUAGUUAAAGGUUAAAGGUUUUUGACGUGAGGGUUAAAAUCACUGUCCAAAACCUUUUUAGGAACUGUUUUCCCUCCCUUUUGGAGUUAGUUAGACCAAAAAAAAAAAACGAAAAAUGAAAAAAAAAAUGUUUGGGGAGUUAAGGCUUCCUUAUGGUAAUACCCGGGUAUUAGGUUAUGGGGCUAGGGUAAGGUUUGAGGUUUUUAGCGUUAGGGCUUAAAUCACUGUCCAAAACCUUUUUAGGAACAUGUUUCAGACCUUUUUGAAUUGGUCAGAAAAAGAAAAAACCUGAAAAAAUAUAUAUAUAUAUAUUUGGGAUGGUAGGGCUUCCUUUACGUAAUACCCGGGUAUUAGGUUACAGGGCUAGUUAAAGGUUAAAGGUUUUUGGCGUGAGGGUUAAAUUCACUGUCCAAAACCUUUUUAGGAACUCUUUUCCAACCUUUUGGAGUGAGUUAGACCAAAAAAAAAAAACGAAAAAUGAAAAAAAAAAUGUUUGGGGUGUUAAGGCUUCCUUAUGGUAAUACCUGGGUAUUAGGUUAUCGGGCUAGGGUAAGGUUUAAGUUUUUUGGGGUUAGGGUUAAAAUCACUGUCCAAAACCUUUGAAGGAACUCUUUUCCAACCUUUUGGAGUUAGUUAGACCAAAAAAUAAGCAAAAAAUGGUUUUUGGGGUUAGGGUUAAAAUCACUGUCCAAAACCUUUGAAGGAACUCUUUUCCAACCUUUUGGAGUUAGUUAGACCAAAAAAAAAAAAACGAAAAAUGAAACAAAAAUAUUUGGGGUGUUCGGGCUUCCUUAAGGUAAUACCCGGGUAUUAGGUCACGGGGCUAGGGUAAGGUUUAAGGUUUUUGGCGUUAGGGUUAAAAUCACUGCCCAAUAUUUUUUUAGGAACAUGUUUCAGACCUUUUGUAGUUAGUUGGACCAAAAAAAAAAACGAAAAAUGAAAAAAAAAAUUUGGGGGUGGUAGGGCUUCCUUUAGGUAAUACCUGGGUAAUAGGUUACAGGGCUAGUUAAAGGUUUAAGGAUUUUCGCGUUAGGGUUAAAAUCACUGUCCAAAACCUUUUUAGGAACCCUUUUCCAACCUUUUGGAGUUAGUUGGACCAAAAAAAAAUGAAAAAUAAAAUUUCUUUGGGUGUUAGGGCUUCCUUAAGGUAAUACCCGGGGCUGGGUUACGGGGCUAGGGUAAGGCUUAUGGUUUUUGGGGUUAGGGUUAAAAUCACUGUCCAAAACCUUUGAAGGAACUCUUUUCCAAACGUUUGGAGUUAGACCAAAAAAAAACGAAAAAUGAAAAAAAAAAUGUUUUUGGUGUUAAGGCUUCCUUAAGGUAAUACCCAGGUAUUAGGUUACGGGACUAGGUAAGGUUUAAGGUAUUUGGCAUGAGGGUUAAAAUCACUGUCCAAAACCUUUGAAGGAACUCUUUUCCAAUCUUUUGGAGUUAGUUAGACCAAAAAAAAAAAACGAAAAAUGAAAAAAAAAAUGUUUUCGGUGUUAAGGCUUCCUUAAGGUAAUACCCGGGUAUUAGGUCACGGGGCUAGGGUAAGGUUUAAGGUAUUUGGCAUGAGGGUUAAAAUCACUGUCCAAAACCUUUGAAGGAACUCUUUUCCAAACGUUUGGAGUUAGACCAAAAAAAAACGAAAAAUGAAAAAAAUUUUUGGGGGUGGUAGGGCUUCCUUUAGGUAAUACCUGGGUAAUAGGUUACAGGGCUAGGGUAAGGUUAAAGGUUUUUGGCGUUAGGGUUAAAAUCACUGUCCAAAACCUUUGAAGGAACUCUUUUCCAACCUUUUGGAGUUAGUUAGACCAAAAAAAAAGAAAAAUGAAAAAAAAAAAUUUGCGGCUGUUAAGGCUUCCUUUAGGUAAUACCCGGAUAUUAGGUUAUGGGGCUAGGGUAAGGUUUAAGGUUUUUGGCGUUAGGGUUAAAAUCACUGUCCAAUAUUUUUUUAGGAACAUGUUUCAGACCUUUUGGAGUUAGUUAGACCAAAAAAAAACGAAAAAUGAAAAAAAAAAAUUUGGGGGUGGUAGGGCUUCCUUUAGGUAAUACCCGGGUAUUAGGUUUCAGGGCUAGUUAAAGGUUAAAGGUUUUUGGCGUGAUGGUUAAAAUCACUGUCCAAAACCUUUUUAGGAACUCUUUUCCAACCUUUUGUAGUUAGUUAGACCAAAAAAAAUGGAAAAAUGGAAAAAAAAAUGUUUGGGAUGGUAAGGCGUCCUUAAAAUAAUACCCGUGUAUUAGGUUCCGGGGCUAGUUAAAGGUUUAAGGAUUUUCGCGUAUGGGUUAAAAUCACUGUCCAAAACCUUUUUAGGAACCCUUUUCCAACCUUUUGGAGUUAGUUGGACCAAAAAAAAAUGAAAAAUGAAAAAUAAAAUUUUUUUGGGUGUUAGGGCUUCCUUAAGGUAAUACCCGGGGCUAGGUUACGGGGCUAGGGUAAGGCUUAUGGUUUUUGGGGUUAGGGUUAAAAUCACUGUCCAAAACCUUUGAAGGAACUCUUUUCCAAACGUUUGGAGUUAGACCAAAAAAAAACGAAAAAUGAAAAAAAACAUGUUUUUGGUGUUAAGGCUUCCUUAAGGUAAUACCCAGGUAUUAGGUUACGGGACUAGGUAAGGUUUAAGGUAUUUGGCAUGAGGGUUAAAAUCACUGUCCAAAACCUUUGAAGGAACUCUUUUCCAAUCUUUUGGAGUUAGUUAGACCAAAAAAAAAAACCAAAAAUGAAAAAAAAAAUGUUUUCGGUGUUAAGGCUUCCUUAAGGUAAUACCCCGGUAUUAGGUCACGGGGCUAGGGUAAGGUUUAAGGUUUUUGGCGUUAGGGUUAAAAUCACUGUCCAAUAUUUUUUUAGGAACAUGUUUCAGACCUUUUGUAGUUAGUUAGACCAAAAAAAAAAACGAAAAAUGAAAAAAAUUUUUGGGGGUGGUAGGGCUUCCUUUAGGUUAUACCUGGGUAAUAGGUUACAGGGCUAGGGUAAGGUUAAAGGUUUUUGGCGUUAGGGUUAAAAUCACUGUCCAAAACCUUUUUAGGAACUCUUUCCAACAUUUUGGAGUCAGUGAGACCAAAAAAAAACGAAAAGUGAAAACAAUUUUUUUUGGGGUGUUAAGGCUUCCUUAAGGUAAUUCCAGGGUAUUAGAUCACGGGGCUAGGGAAAGGUUAAAGGUUUUUGGCGUUAGGGUUAAAAUCACUGUCCAAAACCUUUGAAGGAACUCUUUUCCAACCUUUUGGAGUUAGUUAGACCAAAAAAAAACGAAAAAUGAAAACAAUUUUUUUUGGUGUGUUAAGGCUUCCUUAAGGUAAUUCCAGGGUAUUAGAUUACGGGGCUAGGGAAAGGUUAAAGGUUUUUGGCGUUAGGGUUAAAAUCACUGUCCAAAACCUUUUUAGGAACUCUUUUCCAACAUUUUGGAGUUAGACCAAAAAAAAACGAAAAAUGAAAACAAUUUUUUUUGGGGUGUUAAGGCUUCCUUAAGGUAAUUCCAGGGUAUUAGAUUACGGGGCUAGGGAAAGGUUAAAGGUUUUUGGCGUUAGGGUUAAAAUCACUGUCCAAAACCUUUGAAGGAACUCUUUUCCAACAUUUUGGAGUCAGGCCAAAAAAAAACGAAAAAUGAAAACAAUUUUUUUUGGGGGUGUUAAGGCUUCCUUAAGGUAAUUCCAGGGUAUUAGAUUACGGGGCUAGGGAAAGGUUAAAGGUUUUUGGCGUUAGGGUUAAAAUCACUGUCCAAAAUCUUUGAAGGAACUCUUUUCCAACCUUUUGGAGUUAGUAAGACCAAAAAAAAAUGAAAAAUGAAAAAAAAAAAUUUGCGGCUGUUAAGGCUUCCUUAAGGUAAUACCCGGAUAUUAGGUUAUGGGGCUAGGGUAAGGUUUAAGGUUUUUGGCGUUAGGGUUAAAAUCACUGUCCAAUAUUUUUUUAGGAACAUGUUUCAGACCUUUUGGAGUUAGUUAGACCAAAAAAAAACGAAAAAUGAAAAAAAAAAAUUUGGGGUGGUAGGGCUUCCUUUAGGUAAUACCCGGGUAUUAGGUUUCAGGGCUAGUUAAAGGUUAAAGGUUUUUGGCGUGAGGGUUAAAAUCACUGUCCAAAACCUUUUUAGGAACUCUUUUCCAACAUUUUGGAGUUAGUUAGACCAAAAAAAAUGGAAAAAUGGAAAAAAAAAUGUUUGGGAUGGUAAGGCGUCCUUAAGGUAAUACCCGUGUAUUAGGUUCCAGGGCUAGUUAAAGGUUUAAGGAUUUUCGCGUUAGGGUUAAAAUCACUGUCCAAAACCUUUUGAGGAACCCUUUUCCAACCUUUUGGAGUUAGUUGGACCAAAAAAAAAUGAAAAAUGAAAAAAAAAAUUUUUUGGGGUGUUAGGGCUUCCUUAAGGUAAUACCCGGGGCUAGGUUACGGGGCUAGGGUAAGGCUUAUGGUUUUUGGGGUUAGGGUUAAAAUCACUGUCCAAAACCUUUGAAGGAACUCUUUUCCAAACGUUUGGAGUUAGACCAAAAAAAAACGAAAAAAUGAAAAAAAAAAAUGUUUUUGGUUUUAAGGCUUCCUUAAGGUAAUACCCAGGUAUUAGGUUACGGGACUAGGUAAGGUUUAAGGUAUUUGGCAUGAGGGUUAAAAUCACUGUCCAAAACCUUUGAAGGAACUCUUUUCCAAUCUUUUGGAGUUAGUUAGACCAAAAAAAAAAAACGAAAAAUGAAAAAAAAAAUGUUUUCGGUGUUAAGGCUUCCUUAAGGUAAUACCCGGGUAUUAGGUCACGGGGCUAGGGUAAGGUUUAAGGUAUUUGGCAUGAGGGUUAAAAUCACUGUCCAAAACCUUUGAAGGAACUCUUUUCCAAACGUUUGGAGUUAGACCAAAAAAAAACGAAAAAUGAAAAAAAAUUUUGGGGGUGGUAGGGCUUCCUUUAGGUAAUACCUGGGUAAUAGGUUACAGGGCUAGGGUAAGGUUAAAGGUUUUUGGCGUUAGGGUUAAAAUCACUGUCCAAAACCUUUGAAGGAACUCUUUUCCAACCUUUUGGAGUUAGUUAGACCAAAAAAAAAGAAAAAUGAAAAAAAAAAAUUUGCGGCUGUUAAGGCUUCCUUUAGGUAAUACCCGGAUAUUAGGUUAUGGGGCUAGGGUAAGGUUUAAGGUUUUUGGCGUUAGGGUUAAAAUCACUGUCCAAUAUUUUUUUAGGAACAUGUUUCAGACCUUUUGGAGUUAGUUAGACCAAAAAAAAACGAAAAAUGAAAAAAAAAAAUUUGGGGGUGGUAGGGCUUCCUUUAGGUAAUACCCGGGUAUUAGGUUUCAGGGCUAGUUAAAGGUUAAAGGUUUUUGGCGUGAUGGUUAAAAUCACUGUCCAAAACCUUUUUAGGAACUCUUUUCCAACCUUUUGUAGUUAGUUAGACCAAAAAAAAUGGAAAAAUGGAAAAAAAAAUGUUUGGGAUGGUAAGGCGUCCUUAAAAUAAUACCCGUGUAUUAGGUUCCGGGGCUAGUUAAAGGUUUAAGGAUUUUCGCGUAUGGGUUAAAAUCACUGUCCAAAACCUUUUUAGGAACCCUUUUCCAACCUUUUGGAGUUAGUUGGACCAAAAAAAAAUGAAAAAUGAAAAAUAAAAUUUUUUUGGGUGUUAGGGCUUCCUUAAGGUAAUACCCGGGGCUAGGUUACGGGGCUAGGGUAAGGCUUAUGGUUUUUGGGGUUAGGGUUAAAAUCACUGUCCAAAACCUUUGAAGGAACUCUUUUCCAAACGUUUGGAGUUAGACCAAAAAAAAACGAAAAAUGAAAAAAAACAUGUUUUUGGUGUUAAGGCUUCCUUAAGGUAAUACCCAGGUAUUAGGUUACGGGACUAGGUAAGGUUUAAGGUAUUUGGCAUGAGGGUUAAAAUCACUGUCCAAAACCUUUGAAGGAACUCUUUUCCAAUCUUUUGGAGUUAGUUAGACCAAAAAAAAAAACCAAAAAUGAAAAAAAAAAUGUUUUCGGUGUUAAGGCUUCCUUAAGGUAAUACCCCGGUAUUAGGUCACGGGGCUAGGGUAAGGUUUAAGGUUUUUGGCGUUAGGGUUAAAAUCACUGUCCAAUAUUUUUUUAGGAACAUGUUUCAGACCUUUUGUAGUUAGUUAGACCAAAAAAAAAACGAAAAAUGAAAAAAAUUUUUGGGGGUGGUAGGGCUUCCUUUAGGUUAUACCUGGGUAAUAGGUUACAGGGCUAGGGUAAGGUUAAAGGUUUUUGGCGUUAGGGUUAAAAUCACUGUCCAAAACCUUUUUAGGAACUCUUUCCAACAUUUUGGAGUCAGUUAGACCAAAAAAAAACGAAAAGUGAAAACAAUUUUUUUUGGGGUGUUAAGGCUUCCUUAAGGUAAUUCCAGGGUAUUAGAUCACGGGGCUAGGGAAAGGUUAAAGGUUUUUGGCGUUAGGGUUAAAAUCACUGUCCAAAACCUUUGAAGGAACUCUUUUCCAACCUUUUGGAGUUAGUUAGACCAAAAAAAAACGAAAAAUGAAAACAAUUUUUUUUGGUGUGUUAAGGCUUCCUUAAGGUAAUUCCAGGGUAUUAGAUUACGGGGCUAGGGAAAGGUUAAAGGUUUUUGGCGUUAGGGUUAAAAUCACUGUCCAAAACCUUUUUAGGAACUCUUUUCCAACAUUUUGGAGUUAGACCAAAAAAAAACGAAAAAUGAAAACAAUUUUUUUGGGGUGUUAAGGCUUCCUUAAGGUAAUUCCAGGGUAUUAGAUUACGGGGCUAGGGAAAGGUUAAAGGUUUUUGGCGUUAGGGUUAAAAUCACUGUCCAAAACCUUUGAAGGAACUCUUUUCCAACAUUUUGGAGUCAGGCCAAAAAAAAACGAAAAAUGAAAACAAUUUUUUUUGGGGGUGUUAAGGCUUCCUUAAGGUAAUUCCAGGGUAUUAGAUUACGGGGCUAGGGAAAGGUUAAAGGUUUUUGGCGUUAGGGUUAAAAUCACUGUCCAAAAUCUUUGAAGGAACUCUUUUCCAACCUUUUGGAGUUAGUAAGACCAAAAAAAAAUGAAAAAUGAAAAAAAAAAAUUUGCGGCUGUUAAGGCUUCCUUAAGGUAAUACCCGGAUAUUAGGUUAUGGGGCUAGGGUAAGGUUUAAGGUUUUUGGCGUUAGGGUUAAAAUCACUGUCCAAUAUUUUUUUAGGAACAUGUUUCAGACCUUUUGGAGUUAGUUAGACCAAAAAAAAACGAAAAAUGAAAAAAAAAAAUUUGGGGUGGUAGGGCUUCCUUUAGGUAAUACCCGGGUAUUAGGUUUCAGGGCUAGUUAAAGGUUAAAGGUUUUUGGCGUGAGGGUUAAAAUCACUGUCCAAAACCUUUUUAGGAACUCUUUUCCAACAUUUUGGAGUUAGUUAGACCAAAAAAAAUGGAAAAAUGGAAAAAAAAAUGUUUGGGAUGGUAAGGCGUCCUUAAGGUAAUACCCGUGUAUUAGGUUCCAGGGCUAGUUAAAGGUUUAAGGAUUUUCGCGUUAGGGUUAAAAUCACUGUCCAAAACCUUUUGAGGAACCCUUUUCCAACCUUUUGGAGUUAGUUGGACCAAAAAAAAAUGAAAAAUGAAAAAAAAAAUUUUUUGGGGUGUUAGGGCUUCCUUAAGGUAAUACCCGGGGCUAGGUUACGGGGCUAGGGUAAGGCUUAUGGUUUUUGGGGUUAGGGUUAAAAUCACUGUCCAAAACCUUUGAAGGAACUCUUUUCCAAACGUUUGGAGUUAGACCAAAAAAAAACUAAAAAUGAAAAAAAAAAAUGUUUUUGGUUUUAAGGCUUCCUUAAGGUAAUACCCAGGUAUUAGGUUACGGGACUAGGUAAGGUUUAAGGUAUUUGGCAUGAGGGUUAAAAUCACUGUCCAAAACCUUUCUUAGGAACUCUUUUCCAACCUUUUGGAGUUAGUUAGACCAAAAAAUAACGAGAAAUGAAAAAAAAAAAUUUUGGGGGGUAGUUAAAGCUUCCUUAAGGUAAUACCCGGGUAUUAGGUUACGGGGCUAGGGUAAGGUUUAAUGUUUUUAGCGUUAGGGUUAAAAUCACUGUCCAAUAACUUUUAGGAACAUGUUUCAGACCUUUUGGAGUUAGUUAGACCAAAAAAGAACUAAAAAUGAAAAAAAAUUUUUUGGGGUGGUAGGGUUCCCUUUAGGUAAUACCCGGGUAUUAGGUUACAGGGCUAGUUAAAGGUUAAAGGUUUUUGGCGUUAGGGUUAAAAUCACUGUCCAAAACCUUUUUAGGAACAUGUUUUAGACCCUUUGGAGUUAGUCAGACCAAAAAAAAACGAAAAAUGAAAAAAAAAAAUGUUUGGGGAGUUAAGGCUUCCUUGACGUAAUACCACGGGUAUUUGGUUACGGGGCUAGGGUAACGUUUAAGGUUUUUGGCGUUAGGGUUAAAAUCACUGUCCAAUAUUUUUUUAGGAACAUGUUUCAGACCUUUUGGAGUUAGACCAAAAAAUACUGAAAAAUGUUUAAAAUUUUUUUGGGGUGGUAGGGCUUCCUUUAGGUAAUAACCGGGUAUUAGGUUACAGGGCUAGGUAAAGGUUAAAGGUUUUUGGCGUUAGGGUUAAAAUCACUGUCCAAAACCUUUUUAGGAACAUGUUUUAGACCCUUUGGAGUUAGCCAGACCAAAAAAGAAACGAAAAAUGAAAAAAAAAAAUGUUUGGGGUUUUUAGGCUUCCUUAAGGUAAUACCCAGGUAUUUGGUAAUGGGGCUAGGGUAACGUUUAAGGUUUUUGGAGUUAGGGUUAAAAUCACUGUCCAAUAUUUUUUUAGGAACAUGUUUCAGACCUUUUGGAGUUAGACCAAAAAAUACUGAAAAAUGUAAAAAAAGAAAUGUUUGGGUUGUUACGGCUUCCUUUAGGUAAUACCCGGGUAUUAGGUUACAGGGCUAGUUAAAGGUUAAAGGUUUUUGGCGUUAGGGUUAAAAUCACUGUCCAAAACCUUUUUAGGAACAUGUUUUAGACCCUUUGGAGUUAGUCAGACCAAAAAAAAAACGAAAAAUGAAAAAAAAAAAUGUUUGGGGUGUUAAGGCUUCCUUGACGUAAUACCACGGGUAUUUGGUUACGGGGCUAGGGUAACGUUUAAGGUUUUUGGCGUUAGGGUUAAAAUCACUGUCCAAUAUCUUUUUAGGAACAUGUUUCAGACCUUUUGGAGUUAGACCAAAAAAUACUGAAAAAUGUUAAAAAAAAUUUUGGGGUGGUAGGGCUUCCUUUAGGUAAUAACCGGGUAUUAGGUUACAGGGCUAGGUAAAGGUUAAAGGUUUUUGGCGUUAGGGUUAAAAUCACUGUCCAAAACCUUUUUAGGAACAUGUUUUAGACCCUUUGGAGUUAGUCAGACCAAAAAAAAAACGAAAAAUGAAAAAAAAAAAAUGUUUGGGGUUUUAAGGCUUCCUUAAGGUAAUACCCAGGUAUUUGGUAAUGGGGCUAGGGUAACGUUUAAGGUUUUUGGAGUUAGGGUUAAUAUCACUGUCCAAUAUUUUUUUAGGAACAUGUUUCAGACCUUUUGGAGUAAGUUAGACCAAAAAAUACUGAAAAAUGUAAAAAAAGAAAUGUUUGGGUUGUUACGGCUUCCUUUAGGUAAUACCCGGGUAUUAGGUUACGGGGCUAGGGUAACGUUUAAGGUUUUUGGCGUUAGGGUUAAAAUCACUGUCCAAAACCUUUUUAGGAACAUGUUUCAGACCUUUUGGAGUUAGUUUGACAAAAAAAAAACUGAAAAAUGACAAAAAAAUGUUUGGGGUGUUAGGGCUUCCUUUAGGUAAUAUUGCGUUACGGGGGUAGGGUAAGGGUUAAGGUUUUUGGCGUUAGGGUUAAAAUCACUGUCCAAAACCUUUUUAG